AAAACUUUGCAGGCCAUUAAAACUGAAAUAAAAUGAUUAGAAUCUUAAUUAUUUGGGACAGGUUUUCUGAAGCUGGGUUCAAUUUUUAUAAACUAUGCCUGUAUUUUCUACCCUAUGGAGAAACACAACAAUCUUGAGCAACUAGUGCCCCCCAUCUACUUCUGAAAUCAAAACUCUCUUAUCUAUCAAUUUCAUAGCAACUGUGCAAUCAGGUUCCAAUCAGAUUCCAUUCAGCCAUGCCAGGUUUGGCUUAUGGGUAUGGAUAUGUGGUGGGGGGAAAACUGGAGAGAUGAAAGAGACAUUAUUACUUUCUCAAGUAGAGAAUGGGAAAGGCCAGUAGUAUUCUUUAAAGAAGAAAGAGCAAACAAGUACUUCGGAAGUGUCAAUUUCUGCAGCCUCUUCAUAAGCUUCAUUGGCCAGGAGCAAGUCCUCCAGCUCUUCUUGCAAAGUGUAAAAAGCAAGCUAAACCAUUCCCUCUGCCUGCCCCUCACGCCCCGCCCACACGUGGUCCAAUCAUCAAUCACCAUUUCUGCCCAAGGGCAGUCUGCACUGGUGCAAAAAAGGAAAACCAGGAGGGGUGAAGAGGAGGGAUUGGUUAAAGAGAGAGCUUCCCCGGAGUUCUAUGGUUGCUAUAGUAACAGCUUCUUUUGUUUAUACAUACUCAGAACAGCUGCUUCCUUUGGGUUUCUGGUGGCAGGGAUAUUAUAAAGGUAACUGACAGGGGAAGAAGCGCCACUCUGACCACGGAAUGGUUAACAUAGUACUAUGUAAAAAGGAUAUAGAAUGACCAGUGAGGAUUAAAAAGGGCAAAGAGAGGAAAACAAUCCUCUGGAGGAAUUCUUGGGCAAAUGGAAACAAUUAAAUGUGGCAGGAGAGAAUGAAGAAGAUAAAAUUUGGAUUGAAGGUGGAAAAAAUGAAAGCAGUGGAAGGGAAGAGAUCACUGAGAAUCCAAACAGGGCCAGGGAUAACUGGUACACGCUAACCUUCAAUUCAAAGAAAGCUAAGAUGAUCACACAUACAAAUUAAAGCCAAAUUUGCACUCUUCUGCUCUGCCAGAAGUCUUCCUCACCAGCUGCAUCCCUCUCUUUGUGUAUACACAAUAGUACCUCUGAACAGUAGUGAACAUGAAUUGUCUUCGUGGCACAGCUAAACCUGAAUGAUGUUAACAUUUCACAGAGACACAAACUACAAACAUUCUCCAAAACUAUCUGCAACAGCUCAUUACCCAAACUACCUGCAAGGACUCAUAAAGCAAAAUAAGUCAGACUUACCAACUUAAAUGGAUUAAUAUUGCUUCAUUUCCAAUGUCCCUGUCGAUGCUCUGUGAGAUUCUAUGUUUCUUGGAUUCUUUAACAUAAGUUAGCACAUAUGACUUCUGCUGGAAUGAAAAUGACAUGCCUGGAAUUUCUUUUGUUUGCCUCUUCCAGGUAAACCAACAUGCAGCUAAAGUAGUUAAGAGGGAGUUAAAUCAUUGUAAGAGAGAGUGGAGAUAUGAAGUCCUUGUUGAGGUGGUGAAAUCCUGUAUCAGGAUGUGACUGAUGAAGUGUCUGCUGAUACCAAACAGGCCUUGCGAUCUCAACUUACGACUCUGGGUUUGGGGAAAAGAAUGAAAUGUGUUGGGAAGCCAAUGUAAGUCUGAGGCUGUUCCUGGUAUUUACAGAAAGACUACAGAAAAAGACAUCAGAAUAAUGGCAAGGAUUUAUUUAACACCCUCAUUACUAAGUGGCCCUGAGAGCAAGCUUCACUGUCAAUUAAGAAUUUUCAAGAAAACAUCAAGAAAUAAAACGUUAUACUAGAUAUAAAAUGCCAAAACUGUGUAACUUGUGUGGUCAAUACAGUAUGUCAAACACAGCAAUAAAUUCAAGACAGAAAAGAACAGGAGAGAAUUUUGGGUUUGGCUAUUACGGAGAGAUUGUUGGAGAGCCAUUUCGAUGCAGUGCUGAGUGAGUGCCACUUGGGUAGUAACUGGUUACUAAUUUUUGGUUAAUAGCUUUUAACAUUUUAUCAAAUAUUUCUAGCUAUCUGCAUAGUUGUAGGCUAUAAAGAUGAUUUAUACCUUAGCUUAUAAGCAAGGAAAUCUAGUUACUGAUGAAAUUCAGGUGAAAAUUCUUCUUAACAUUUUAGAAAGUAAGAAAAGUCGAAGUGUCACAUAGUCUCCAUAGCUCACGUUUCUCAUGCGCCCUGAUCUCAAUUUGUUUCUUGCUUCCCCAGCGUCAUGGUACCAUUUCUUAUUCUCUCUUCAUUCUUUGUGUGAAUGCUAAUUGAGCAUGUACUUCAUACCAUGCACUCUUCCAUAUAUUCCGGACAUGGAAAUUAGUGAGAUUCAAUAUUUUCUCCUAAUGAACUUUACCAACAGAUGGUUAACUACAAUAAUAUAUAAUGACAUACAGCACAUUCCAGGUGCUACAUUGGAGUUUAGAGCCAAGUGUUGUGAAGACAAAGAGAAACGUUAAGUUGGUAGUCUGGAGCAGGCAAUGGGAUCAUCAGAAAAGACUUCACAGAGAAGUCUUUUGAUCGGUCUUUGGAAGGCAGAUAAUGGUUUCUUUAGAGUGAGAAGCUGAGGGAAAGGCAAUCUAUUCAUUGAGGUUUUGAACUGUUUACUACAGAUGAAAGAAAACUUGUGAAGGGUGAGCAAAGCCUCAGUGACAUAAAAGUGCAUGGCUUAUUCGAGAAACUCUGAGCAGUCAAAUAUUAUUGAAACAUAAGAUUUGUAACAGAAAUGGACUUGGCAAGAUAUUCACCUAAUAAAUAUUUAUUAAGUACAUAUUAUGGGCAAGAGACCAAGCUAGAAAUAACGCUAUGUAUUUUAUUGUAUACAACACAUCCAAUUACCCUAACAAAGUGGAUGUUAUUCUCCACGUAGGUAUCAGGAAAUAAAUGAGGUGCAAGUAAGGUAAACUUGGUCAGACCUGUGAAUCCAGCUGGUUCCUCUAAACAUACCCUACUUAAACACCCAAGUGAAUUCGAUUCUGAAAGGGACCAAGCAUCCUAUUAAAAAGUCUAUAACUUUAUCCUGAGAGUCUUAAUGAGUUAAGAUAGGUGUUUUAAGUCAAGGUAUAUCAUAAGGGCAUUUAGCAGCAAAUAUGGCAAAGUGGUUAAGGGAUCAGGCAUCACCACUAUAAGCUGUGUGUGAUUUGGAAAAUUAAUGUCUCAGGGUCACAGUGUUUUUUUCUUAUAAAAUGGGGAUGAUGAGAGUACGUAUUUUAUGAGAUUGUUGUACUCAUCAUUUAAUAUAUGAAAUUUAUUUAGAGUGAUGCUUGGCUUCAAUAAGUCAUCAGCGUAUGGGAUUCUUGUUUCAGAAACAGCUCUCUGAUGGCACUGUGAGGAAAGGAUAGCAGAGGCAGGAAAACUUCAAUCCUCAAUAUUCCAGAAGAAGAACAAAGAGGGCUUCGACUAUGGCAUUUGGCAGUGAUGGAAAAGUAAAGGUAACACUGGGAGAUAUUUCAGCUGUAAAUAUUGAAAAAAGUUUGUGACCAACUGGUUUGGGGAGAAGAGGAAGGAAAACCCAAAACAGAAAACAACCCCGAGGCCUCUAGUUUAUAUGGCCAGAUGAAUGCUGAUGUCUUAACAUUUCAUAGUCCAACUGCUACUUCCCUGUGAAUUAAUUAUCCUAGGACUCUCCUGGCUGCUGAGUGCCCGUAAUUGAUUUAAUGACUAUUUAUAGUGAAAAAAUAAAAAUAAAAACAAUGUUGAAAGCCAAUAGAGGCCAGAGAAGUCAGUUCCUCCCACUAAGGCUAGCCUGUCCCUAUCACCCUGAACUGACCCUGUUCUCAAGUCCCUUGGGUGUGAAAAUAACUGAGCAGUUAUCUCUGAAGCUGGCGGACAACACGGCUUCUAAGUUUUAGGACCAGAGCUGCAUAGAGGUACAGUGCUGGUAGGUGGUAAAAAGGGGACUGAAGAAUGUAGCCCAACUACCAUUUGGGGACAUUUUGUUUUCACUUGGGACAACAGUGAGAUCAAGUUUUCAAACUGUGAGGAGGAAUGUUUCUCGAGAAUUCUUAAUUUCUUAAUCAAUACACUGAUCAUAUUUAAGUUCUAUACAAUAUCCAGGGUCCAUGAGAUGUCACAAACUUUAGGUAUAUGAAAGAAAAUACAUGUUAAGGUUACUGUUGGGUGAAACAUGAGAGUGUAUAAACAGAAAGUUAAAACGAACACCAAAAUAAAUUCUAGGCAAGACACUCCCUGAAAAUUUUUCUUAUCACUUGAAUUACACAUACAUAGAAUAUAUUUCCAUUCUUCUAUAAAAGCUACCAUCUGUAUCUCUACUACACAAUUCGGGAAUUAUGAAAGCUGAGUAUUUUACAUGUCAUACAACACAGAAGACUGUGAUAACAUUUAUUUUUGAGCUAUUAAGGCUUUAACUGAACUACAUUGUUUCUUUAAUAAGUUAGUAUUGCAUAUAAAUGACAAAAGGAGACAGGAAAUACACAAAAACAAGUUUAUUUUACAGUGGGGGGAUAGAGGAAGAGUGGUAAUUAACCCUAAAUUCUGUUCUCCAUUUAUAUAAAAGCUUCUUCAUUUCAUGGUCUAUACACUCUUUUUUCUUUCAAAACAACUUCACGAAAACAUCUUGGGGUUUCGAAGAUAGAAGGGAAGGUUAGUCACUCCAUAAUGCAA